UAAAUAACUAACACCCAUAAUCUCUUUUGUCACUACACUCCAUGUUAUGGUUCCUGAAAAACCACCACUUCUCCAUUUUCUUCUCUUUUUGGAUUCUCCAAUGGAAGAGAUUAAGGGCCAAAAAGAGAAGAAAAUGGAGAAGGUGGUGGUUUUUUAGGAACCAUAACAUGGAGUGUGUUGGCAAAAGAGAUUAAGGGCGUUGGUUAUAUAGCGCUGCCUAUGAUAACUGUCAACUAUCAACCUAUUUUCUUCAGAUAAUUUCCAUGAUGAUAGUUGGUCAUUUGGGAAAGCUUGCUCUCUCUAGCACAACUAUUGCUACCUCUCUUUGUGCUGUCUCUGGCUUCAAGUUUGGAAUGUCGUGCAUUGGAAAUUCUAGGCGGCCAAGCCUAUGGAGCAAAGCAAUAUACCAGAUUUGGUGUUCAAAUCUACACUUGUAUUGUAACUUUGAGUCUAGCUUGUGUUCCUGUGAAAUUCUCUACUCAGUGUGAAAAGACUCAUGCUCCAAUCUUGAUGGAACUAUUCUAUGGGCUUGGAGAGUUCUUGUGCUACGCCGUUCCAUCUGAUGGGAUGAUUUGCCUCGAAUAGUGGUCAUUUGAGCUGCUCACUUUGCUUUCUGGGCUUCUACCAAAUCCAGAGCUUGAAGCUUCAGUUCUGUCCAUAUGGCACAAAGUUGUUAUUGUAGAAGCUAAGGUAACUAUUUGCUCUUGAAAGAUGGGGUUUGGAAGGAAAUAUCAUGUUUUUGUUAAAAUUUUUAGUCCCUCCAAAAAUUUCUUUUAAGCUCUGUCAUUGGCCAGCAUAUUCUUCUAGUAUGACUUUCUUGGUGGCCAGCCUACCACUUGUAAUUGUAAUUGGUGGCCAGCAUGUUCUCCAAUAAAAGAUGCUUUACUAUAAUAGAUUAAGAUAAGAAAAAAGUGUAACUGAAUUUUUUUGCUACAUUCUUACAAACUCAAACAAAUUUAGAG